rnacentral:misc_RNA from 1 species
CUGAGGUUAAACAAAUCCAUCCGCAGGCGGAUGAAUCAGAUAGAGCUCGGGUCCACCAGGCGGAGAAGGUUCUGGCGGAUCAAGAUCAAACCCAAGCUUAAAAUUCUUAAAAUAUCUUCUCCUAAGAAGUUUUUCGUUUGGUUACGCGACGCCUAUGUCAAGAUGAUGCUGGGAUUCGCUAACUCCCGGGUGAUUGGACCAGGAGGCUACGGUGCUGGAGUACCGAAUGGAAUCCCCGCCUUCGGGAAAGGCCCACUCAAGGAGUACGAUGAUAAGAUGAUCAUUGAGAUCUAUAAGUCGUUGGUGAUGGCGCAAAGCCAAUUAGUUCCCCGCGACACAAACAAGCUUGCCCCCAUAUCUAGACUCGCUGCAAUUGUAGAAUAGUGAGUAUGGCCUUCACGGGCAACAAUAAAAUUCGGGUCACCUAUCAAAAA